rnacentral:rRNA from 1 species
GAGACAGCAGUAGCCGCGGGAAUACGAAGGGUGCAAGCGUUAAUCGGAAUUACUGGGCGUAAAGGGUGCGUAGGCGGUUGUUUAAGUCUGUUGUGAAAUCCCCGGGCUCAACCUGGGAAUGGCAAUGGAAACUGGACGGCUAGAGUGUGGUAGAGGAUAGUGGAAUUUCCGGUGUAGCAGUGAAAUGCGUAGAGAUCGGAAGGAACAUCUGUGGCGAAGGCGACUAUCUGGGCCAACACUGACACUGAGGCACGAAAGCGUGGGGAGCAAACAGGAUUAGAUACCCCAGUAGUCCCUGUCUCUUAUAC